rnacentral:rRNA from 1 species
CUGCUGCCUUCCGUAGGAGUCUGGGCCGUGUCUCAGUCCCAAUGUGGCCGGCCGACCUCUCAGUCCGGCUACUGAUCGUCGCCUUGGUGGGCCGUUGCCCCACCAACUAGCUAAUCAGACGCGAGUCCAUCUCAGAGCGAUAAAUCUUUGAUGUCCAGAGCCAUGCGGUUCAGACAUAUUAUGCGGUAUUAGCAGCUGUUUCCAGCUGUUAUUCCCCAUCCAAGGCAGGUUG